UCAUUAAAGCGUUGUCUAGGUGGAGCCCGGCCGUUUCGGAUUGAAAUAUAUUCGAGGCGGUGUCUAGGUGUUCCCUGGCAGUUGCCCAUUCUUGUCUACUGACCCAGUUGCCUCGGCGGGCCGAGCCGUUCGCGGCCGGCCGGUGGGAGUUUCGGUUCGCCCAGCGUGGGCCGCCGCUUCCUCGGGCCUGUGCCCGCCGAUGGACAUUUAAAAAUCUAAUAUUUUGAACGUCUGAGCAUAAAGCAAAAUCUUUUAAAACUUUCAACAACGGAUCUCUUGGUUCCGGCAUCGAUGAAGAACGCAGCGAAAUGCGAUAAGUAAUGUGAAUUGCAGAAUUCCGUGAAUCAUCGAAUCUUUGAACGCACAUUGCGCCCUCUGGUAUUCCGGAGGGCAUGCCUGUUCGAGCGUCAUUGCAACCCUCAAGCUCGGCUUGUGUGAUGGGCGACCGUCCUUCCCCUAGGGGCGGGACGCGUCCGAAAAGCAGUGGCUAGGCCGCGACUCCGGCGCCUGAGCGAAUGGGAUUUCCAACGCUUAUAGGACCGGCCGGUUUUUUGGCCUUAUAAUCUAGAUCUUUAUUGAUCUAUCUAGGUUGACCUCGGAUCAGGUAGGGAUACCCGCUGAACUUAAGCAUAUCA
rnacentral:misc_RNA from 1 species